UGCGAGUGAAGAGGGAAGAGCUCAUCAUUGGAAUCUGGCAGUGUUGCACUGUCCGAGUUGUAGAUGAGGAGUAGUCCGUCUGGACUGCAUGGCGUCCAAGUACAAUAGGCCGUCAGUGGGACAUCAUAGAGGGUGACAAUCCCGUCCUUGACGCCAAUGUGCAAGUCUAUUACGAUGGCUAUCUCAGAGAGUCGAGCAGUUUGGGAUUUGCUGCUUAAACAUGGGAGGUAGAUUCCUUCUAAAGCUAAAUACAGGCGAGAGACCGAUAGAGAACAAGUACCGCAAGGGAAAGAUGAAAUAGCACUCUGUGAAGGGAGUCAAAAGGCGUGAAAUUGUUGCGAGAGAAGCGAUUCAAGUCAGCGUAGCUAGGCCCAUCAAGCGUCUUCGCUUUGGACUAGCUUUGCCAGCGGUCUUGUCCCUUGAAGAGACUUGACUUGUAAUAUGUCCAGCCUGGCGUGCACAGGCAGCCCCUUCUGGGGGCCAGUGGCAUGGCUGGUGGAAUGGCUUGCAAUCGACCCGUCUUGAAACACGGACCAAGGAGUCUAACAUGUAUGCGAGUAUAAGGGUGGCAAACCCGUAUGCGCAAUGAAAGUGAUUUUCGGUGAUUGAGAAUGGCCUGAUGACCAGACAAGCAAUAUAUGUCCCUCGUACGGCCAUUGCCCAAGUUCCGUGGUAGAUCCCACGAACAUGGAGUUGGAGCAUACAUGCUAGGACCCGAAAGAUGGUGAACUAUGCCUGGACAAAGCGAAGCCAAAGGAAACUCUGGUGGAGGCUUGUAGCGAUUCUGACGUGCAAAUCGAUCGUCUGAUCUGGGUAUAGGGGCGAAAGACUAAUCGAACCAUCUCAUAGCUGGUUCCUGCCG
rnacentral:rRNA from 1 species